rnacentral:rRNA from 1 species
UACGGGGGGGGGUAAGCGUUGUUCGGAAUUACUGGGCGUAAAGGGCUCGUAGGCGGCCAACUAAGUCGGACGUGAAAUCCCUCAGCUUAACUGGGGAACUGCGUCCGAUACUGGAUGGCUUGAGUUUGGGAGAGGGAUGCGGAAUUCCAGGUGUAGCGGUGAAAUGCGUAGAUAUCUGGAGGAACACCGGUGGCGAAGGCGGCAUCCUGGACCAACACUGACACUGAGGAGCGAAAGCCAGGGGAGCAAACGGG